ACAAUAACUAAAGCAUAGAAGGAAGGCUAAAAUAAGAAUUCAGAAACUAUAAACCGGCUCUCUUCUAGCUUACGACACAAACUAUGAGUGAGAAAAGGACAAAUGAUUCGCUCUUUGCUUCAUUUUUUCCGAGGUUGUCACAACAUGAAAUGUCAUUUGGACCUAUUGGACUCAUUUUAACUCGGCCAAAUACAUAGUAACAUACAUAAGAAGAUUUUACUUAUAUUUACCGAACUAUUUGACACGGUCGCGUCAACUGUGUUUACGAGUGUCUUGUGUUCAGAUUGUUUUAAGUGAUAAUUUAACAAUAUUUUUCCAAAUAAAUGGAAAGAAACUUUUAUUUAUAUCAAAUAAUUGAGUGUCUCGACUGUGUGACAUUAUGUCUUGUGUGGUAUGGGGCUGCAGCUCACAUUCAGGAAGAAAAGAAAAUAGCCAACAACUUCUGUCGUUUCAUCGAUAUUAAAUCCAAAAGUGUCGACUGGAUUUACAUGAAAAGUCAGUUCAAGAAGACGAGAUGAAAAAUUUAAAAGAAAAGCUGAACAAGUCCCGCCUCAAGAUCAAACGACUUAAUGAAAAAAAAAAAACAUUGUGACAGGGUGUCACAAAGACAGUUUCUAAUUUCUAAGCUGUUUAGAAAUUAAUAAAUUUGUAUUUAUUGUAAAUAUAAUGUACAUAAUUAAUAACGUGUGAAAUAAAUACUUGCUAAUGAAAAUGAACAGAUUUACGAUCUAAUUUAUAUUUCAUUUUACCUCGUGUUCUUAUUUACUCCUACUCCAACACUCCAGGUUGAU